AGGAGAAGAAGCGAAAGCAGUCAAAACCGAAACAGAAAAAGAAACAUGAAUCGACUUCUGAAGAGACAAUCAAAAGCACAACCGAUCAACGCACUGAUCCCCUGCCGCCUCCUGCACAAACG